rnacentral:rRNA from 1 species
AAAAUACGGGAGGCAGCAGUGGGGAAUCUUCCACAAUGGGCGAAAGCCUGAUGGAGCAACGCCGCGUGAGUGAAGAAGGUCUUCGGAUCGUAAAGCUCUGUUGCACGGGACGAAAACCGAGCUUGAGAAUAUUGAGUUUGGGUGACGGUACCGAGCGAGGAAGCCACGGCUAACUACGUGCCAGCAGCCGCGGUAAUUUU